rnacentral:misc_RNA from 1 species
UAACCCCUCAAGCUCAGCUUGGUGUUGGGGCCCGCUGUACUGGCGGCCCCUAAAAUCAGUGGCGGUGCCAUCUGGCUCUAAGCGUAGUAACUCUUCUCGCUACAGGGUCCCGGUGGAUGCUUGCCAUCAACCCCCAAUUUUCUAU